rnacentral:lncRNA from 1 species
CUCAGAUCUGGGAGGACAGAGCUGCAUGAGGGGGGGGAAGUUUGAACCCAGCAGACCCACAAACAUGUGGCAACAGGCUGACUACCUAGGGCUCCUUGCACGCUCCCUUCAUGAUGGAAGAUUUGUUCAAUAAUCCCCAGGAUUGUAGCUAAACACUCCAGGACAUAUUUCUCUACUUGGCUACAGUCAAGGCCCUGGCUCAGACAUCUCCAUCUCCCCCAGGCGGGAAAAAGAAGAAAUAAACACUGCUUGGUGCCAAAAAAAGAGACUCUGGAACUUGAGGCCUGUCACUGCUCACUAAAGGAAAAAAUCAAAAAGAAAUGCAAGUGUAAGAAGGAGGAGGAGAAAGAGGAAAAGAAAGAAGAGGAAGAAAAGUAUGUAAUCCAUAAAGAUCUUCUCCUAAAAUGGGUAAAGGGGGAAAUUAGGGGUGAUUUAAAAGAAUCUACUGUUUUUCAAGGAAAUUACUCUCUAAGGAUCAUUCUGCCUCCACCUCACACUGUAUAAAUGUGGUGAGUGGGCUAAAGGCAGGUGAGGUACCACAAAUGCAGAAGACCCUGAGAAUUGCCAAGGGCACCAAGACUCUGAUCCUUCUCUGUCUGGCCAAGGCAGGAACAAUUUCUGUCUCAUAGUGCCAGAAAAAUGCAUUCUCCCCAUUUCACAGAUAAGGAACUUGAAUCUUGAAGAUGACAAACAACUUGUCCAAGACCAUAUUGGUAUUAAGUGGUGAACUUGGGAUUUUAAACCCAAGACUCUGAUGCCAAAACCGACUGAAAAAUAGGAUUCAUUUCGUAUGUAGCACCAAUGUUCUCCUUAGAUUCCUUCUUAUAUUAGCUAUCUACUGUUCGAGUGUCUUUCUUUCUUUCUUUUUUCCAUUCAAUAUUUGUUAAGCACCAGCUAUGACCAGUUGCUGAGAUAUAAAGAAACGGUUCCUCCUGACAUCAGAUUUGCAGAUUGACGGAGAAGGCGAAGAGGAAGCACAUAGGGCUAAUAAAGUGUCACAAGGACUGUGACAAGAGAACCAGGGAAUAUGUAAGAACAAAAGUAAUAAACAGUCAUUGAGUGCUAGCUAUGCACUAGGCGUAGUGCUGAGAGCUUCCCCUGUGGUAUUAGAAGAGGGAGACAAAAGAAGAGGCAGUUAGUGUUACCAAGGGUGGGCUUAGUUUGCCAGCUAUGGAAAUAAAAAUACAGGAUCCUCAGUUAAAUUUGAAUUUCAGAUAAACAAUAAAUUUUUUUAGUAUAAGCAUGUCUCAUGCAAUAUUUGAAACACACACAUACAAAAACAUUAUUCAUUCUUUAUCUGAAAUCCAAAUUGAACUGGGAGUCCUGUAUUUUAUCUGACAAUUCUAGGUGAGGAGAUCAAGGGAGUAGUAGAAAGUGUUUCACAGAGAAAGUGAGUCUUGAAGAUGAGUCGUUUUUCUCCAGAUUAGGGGUAGGGAGGGAAGUAAGAAUUAUUGAAUCUCAACCUCAUAGCAAUCAUGACCGUAGGAAACUGUCAUAUUUCAAAAGAUCAAUAGAAUUGCUUUCAUAGGGAUGUGUUAAGCCACCUCAAAAUGAUUUCUUUUGGGGGUGAAUAACUGGGAAAUAAAACAUAUAUUUGGUCACUUUGUAAAUAUAAGUUUUCCCACAAGUUAGGUAGAGGUAGAAAUAAAUAUGUCAGUGAAAAAAAUCUCAUGGUUGCCAAGCAACCACUCAGGAUGUAGGCUCCUCCUCUUUAUGUGUAAUGAGGAUGGUGACUUUAAAGAAACACCCCCUCCAACUCCCUCAAAAAAAAGAUGGAAUAAAAGAGAGGAGGUAGUGUAGUGGAAAUAGCAGUUGCCUCACGCUCCCAUGCCUGGACAGGUGGCUUGGGUUAAGCUUUUUCCCCUCUGUCAGUUUCAGGUUCCUCCUCGGUGAAGUCACAAGCUCCCCCUGACUGAUACCUGAGGCCCCCUCCAGCCCUACAGUGAUCGAGUUUUAAGAAGUGAGGCUAAGUCACGUCAGCUCAUGGUUGGCCUCAACCACAAGAGGAGGCAGCUUGAUUCUCCAGCCUUCCUAUAAUUCUAUAAGCUCCCUAUAUUCC